ensembl:lncRNA
UAUCUAGUCUUACCAAGAGAAGGCAAGAAGGACAUUAUAUUAUUUAUCAAAGGGUCAAUUCACCAAAAAGAUAUAACAAUUUUGUAAACAAAUAACGUCAGACCUCAAAAUAUCAAUAUAUGAAGCAAACAUUGACCCUAAUCUCUGGUAGAAAACCCCAGAGAUUACUGACAUGUGCAUGUCUGCACAUGCACACAGACACACACACAUGCACACACAGCUAAUUCAGGGAAGUUGCUAAUAAACCAAGACAGUUGCAGGAUCCAAAUUAAGACACAAAAAUCAGUUGCUUUUCUGUACACUAGAACAAUGAAUGAUCCAAAAGGAAAUUAAGAAAACAAUUCCAUUUACAUAGCAUCAGAAAAUAAGUAGAUAAAACACUUAGGAAUAAAUUUAACCAAGAAGGGAAAGAUUUGUGCACUGAAAACUACAAAGCAUUGCUGAAAGGAAUUAAAGAAGACAAAAAUAAAUGGAAAGACAUCUUAUGUUAACGGACUGGAAGACCCAAUAUUAUUAAGAUGACAGUACUACUCAAAGUGAAAUACAGGUUCAAUACAAACUCUAUCAAAAUCCCAGCAACAUUUUUUGCAGAAAUGGAAAGACUAAUCCUAAAGUUAGUUUGGAAUCUCAUAGGACUCCAAAUAGCCAAAACAAUCUUAAAAAAAAAAAUUGGAGGACUCACACCUGAUUUCAAAACUUACUACAAAGAUAAUAGUAAUCUAAACACUGUGGUACUGACAUAAGGACACAUAGAGAACAGGAUUGAGAGCCUAGAAAUAAGUCCUCAUUUAUGUGGCCAAUCUGUUUUUGACAAGGGAGCAAAAAUCAUUCAGUGGCAGAAAGGCAAGUCAACAAAUGGUACUGGGAAACUGUAUAUCUACAUGCAAAAGAAUGAAGCUGGACCCUUAUGCCACACACAAAAAUAAACUCAAAAUAGAUUGAAGACCUACAUGUAAGAUCUAAAACCAUAAAACUCUUGCAAGACAACACAGGGAAAAAUCUUCAUGACAUUGGGUUUGGCAACUGGAUAUGACAGCAAAAACACAGAUGGUAAAAGGAAAAAUAUUAGGUAAAUUGGACUUAAUCAAAAUUUAAAACUUUUGUGCAUAAUAGGACACUAUCAACAGAGUGAAAAGGCAACUCACAGAAUGGAGAAAAUAUUUGCAAAUCACGUAUCUAAUAAGGGAUUCAUAUCCAGAUUAUAUAGAGAACUUCUAAAGGUCAACAACAACAACGUAAGCUGAUUAUAAUAUGAAAAAAGGACUUGAAUAGUUAUUUUCCAAAGAAGAUGAACAAAUAGAAAAUAAGCACAUAAGCUGGCAAGCACCGUUGUGGAAUCCUCCCUCUAGCUUAUUAGCUCUAGAACCCAGCCUUACCCUGGCCCAACAGCCUGUAGAUGCCAUUGCUGGGAAACCUCAAUGGUUUGAGGCAACUUGACUGGGCAAGGACAUGGACUCACACAUUAGCAGACAGGCUGCCUUAAGAACCACUGAAGCCAUGGCCCCCUCUGGACAUGACCCUGCCGAUCAAGUGGCCCAGAACCCAACGCCACCGACCAGUGGCCAGGUACCAGCCCUAAAAUCCCCUGGGCCCCAGCUCUGCCUUCCAGGGCCUGCUUUAGCCUCUGGACCAGCCUCGCCUACCACAGGGCAGAUACCAGAUGCAAGAAAACCAGAAUCCUGCAGCCUGUGAACCCAGCCUGCCCGUCAGCAGGCCAGACCCUGCCCUGACCCAGCUGGGCCCUGUCCUGCCAACGAGCAAGCCAACACAAGCUUUGGGACACCCAGAACCCUUACCCAACUGUGUCAGGAACCACUGCCCCCUCCACCACCAGUGAUCUGGCAUCAGCUCUGGGACUCCUGGGCCAUGCAACCAGACUCCAGGACCUGGCUUUGCCCACCAGUAGGCUGGCACUAACCCCUGGCUUCACCAAACAGUGGAUGAGCAACAGCCCCAGAGCCUUCUGGACCCUGACGCCACCCACCAGUGAGCCACACUAGCCCUGAGGUCCCCUGGGGUUCUGCAGUCAGCCACUUCAUGACCCAGUCCUUCAACCUGCAGCUGGCAGGCUUUUCACAAGGCAGGGCCUGGCAACCAACCAGACUGGGUGCAAACCAAGCCUAGCAGACCACCCAGAUGCCCACCAUGAUAGAAAGACCCACGCAGCCCUCAUAAGGGGAACCCCUAGAGGAUAUAACUUGGGUGACAAUAGAGGAGUCUGCUGUUGGGACCCAUAAGACAUCUCCUACAAAAGGCCACUUCUCCAAUGUCAGAAAACAUAACCAAUCUACCAGAUAGAUUAAAAUAUAAACAGUAACUUAGGCAAAAUGAGUCAACAUAGGAAUAUAUUCUAGACGAAGGAACAAGAUAAAACCCUAGAAGAACUAAGUGAAGUGAAGAUAGGCAAUCUACCCAAGAAAGAAUGCAGAGUCGUGAUUGUAAAGAUGAUCAAAUAACUUGAGAGAAAAUGAAGUUAGAAAUUUUUAACAAAAAAUUAGAAAAUAUGAAGAACAACGAAACAGAGAUGAAGAAUAAAAUAACUG